GGGCUUAUAUAUAUAAGUUGUUGUUUUUUUUUAAAUUCUAAUGAUCCGAAUAUUAAACGUCAAUUGAGAGGGUCUAAAUAUUGUGAUCUACAAAAAGGUAGAGAGGAAAAAACA